CCCGGAGCCUAGCGGUACGCUGGAAGGUGCCCGAAUGGAGAGUGCCAGCGCCCCGGCGCUGAGCAACAGCCUCAGGCUGAAAUGAAAGGGCAUUUGUACUGCUGUCUCCAUCUGUCACUGGUUGUGGCCUACGUCGGGACAGAAGUGAUCUCCAGUGAGGCAGCUCUCUGCACUGGCGAGGAUCAGAAGUUGAAGGCCGAUGGCAAUACUCCAAGCCGCUGGGACUAAAAGUCAUUUCUUGAAGGGGGAUCUGGACAGCACAACAAUGCCUACCACAGACGUUUUGCAGAGAAAGGAAAAGAUUACCCAAGGCCCAAACAAUUGGUGAUAAUGAAGAAACUCUACUACCAGAUGUUGCAAGAUGCCUCAAUGACCUAAUCCAGCAAAUCACAGCUCCAGCUUCCAUGAGCACUGUCUACCAU